CCUCCGCCGGUCUUUUUGGUCUUUCCCGCCAUGUCGUUCGUGGAGAGCGGGCGGCGCUCCGCUGCUGUUCGCAGUCGUUUCGACACCCCUGUCACGUUUUCCCGACCGGCGUUUUCCGCCUUCACGCAGGGCGAUAGUUGGGGUGAGGGUGAAGUGGAUGAGGAGGACGGAUGCGACCAAGUGGCCCGUGACCUGCGGGCGGAGUUCUCGGCCGGGGCGUCGUCGGAGCCUAGAAAGGGCUCGCUACUCCAGCGGGACGGGGACGGGGACGGGUCUCCAGUUCUACUCGAUAAGCGCAAUGGCAUUUUCUCUGCGGUUGCGAGCAGCCGAGCCCAGGCUCGGCGGUGGCCGGUCCAGGUCCUCUCAAUUCUUUGUUCGCUGCUGUUCGCCAUCCUCCUCGCCUUCCUCCUCGCCAUCGCCUACCUGAUCGUAAAAGAGUUACAUGCUGAGAAUUUAAAGACUGAAGAGGACAUAGACACUGGGCUACUAGGAUUCUGGACUCUACUUAUAAUAUCUCUGUCUGCUGGAUUCUCCUGCUGUAGCUUUUCUUGGACAGUGACUUAUUUUGACUCUUUUGAACCAGGAAUGUUUCCUCCUACUCCUCUUUCACCUGCCAAGUUCAAGAAACUGACUGGACAUUCUUUCCACAUGGGCUAUAGCAUGGCAAUUUUGAAUGGCAUUGUUGCUGCUCUUACUGUAGCAUGGUGCCUCCUGUAAACCCACAGCGAAGCAAUAUUUUUGGCAAAACUUAUUCAUGAUUGUUUUGUAAUAACAGGGAAGAACAUCAUUUCAUCAUUUGUCUACUCAGAAGACCAAGAAACCUGCUGUUAUGUGGUUCAGCUAUGUGUCAUAUCAUCGUCAUUAUGGAGGACCUUCUUCUUUUUUUUUUUAAUGGAGGACCUUCGUAAGCACCAUUCUAGAACUUAGGCAUUGAGAAUAUCUGAGUAUUAAGUUUCAAGUAAUUUCUUAAAAAUUUAAGAUGUUUACCUCGUCUUUUUACUUUUGUGUGCAUUGUCCUUAUAAAUCAUAGAAAACAUUUUAAUGAAAUUCAAACAUGAAAACUUGAAUAUGGGAUAAUGCUAUGUAUAAUACUACAUUUUUGCUAAGAAAUACUGAAGACUGUUUAAAUGAGAUAGAAAUACUUCUUAUUUAUUCAUGAUAUUAGAAAAGCAAACAAUGCCUACUACUUCAACAUUUUACAGAAGCUACUUUGAAAUCAGAAUAUUUAGUUUUCAAGUCAUAAUCAACAGAAGGUGCAUUUAUAUUUUUUAAUGAGGUAUAAUUCCUUAUGUUUUUUUAUAUAUUUUCCUACUACAUAUUGAAUUUGUAUGUUUUUAAAAUUGCUACAUCUAGACAAAUAUAUAUGUUAUUUUUUAGCUGGUGGAAACCUAAUACCUACCAUUUUAAAUAAGUAUAUUGUUUUUUUUAAAAAAAGCAAAAAAACCCACAAAAAACAAACACAUUGAUCUGAGUUUAAAAUUAAGUAAGCCUAUUCUAGCAAAAAAAAGUCUGAUAAGAAGUAAAUUACUUAAGCCAUUAAAAUAUUGAGAAAGUUGAAGUUGUUCACUACUUCUGUUUCCACAGUUGCAAAUAUUUGUCUUGGUGUGUAUAUGAUUACUCCAACAGAACUGAUAUUAUUUUGUUUUUAAUAAAUAUAAAUCUGAAAUUUUUAUAUUUA